AUCGGUGUAGGGUUUCGUUUCACUCUCCCGCAGUCGCUGACCCUGAUGGGUAAGGAGAGGGAGGAUGGGUGCCGCGUCGUCGAUGUCUGUAUCGUCCAUAGCGUCCUUGGUAGAUGCAUCUAUGGUUCAAACUUAUGGUUCGGGUUUCUGAGGGUUUGGGGAGAAGGAUAGGGGAUCUGACCUCCGUUUUGCGCGAGAACAGAGUCGAGAUCUAUGCGGAGAACGUUCCAAAUAGAGGGAUUUCUCUUACAUAAGCUUCUGGGAAGGCCUUGCAGUGAGGAGACGGAGGUAUAAGGGUAUGCACGAGCUAAGCAAAACCAGCUAAGGGGGAUGGUCACGAGCGAUAGCUGGUCACGACCGAUGGCGAUAGUCGAUAGGAGUAACAUGGCAGGCACAGGGCGAUGUAAAAUUUCAGACAAUGCAUACCCUUUCAAGAAACAAUGCAUUUUCUCCAUUUGUGUUA